rnacentral:rRNA from 1 species
GGAUGAACGCUGGCGGCGUGCUUAACACAUGCAAGUCGAGCGAUGAACCCCACUUGUGGGGGGAUUAGUGGCGAACGGGUGAGUAACACGUGAGUAACCUGCCCUUAACUCUGGGAUAAGCCUGGGAAACUGGGUCUAAUACCGGAUAUGACUCCUCAUCGCAUGGUGGGGGGUGGAAAGCUUUUUGUGGUUUUGGAUGGACUCGCGGCCUAUCAGCUUGUUGGUGAGGUAAUGGCUUACCAAGGCGACGACGGGUAGCCGGCCUGAGAGGGUGACCGGCCACACUGGGACUGAGACACGGCCCAGACUCCUACGGGAGGCAGCAGUGGGGAAUAUUGCACAAUGGGCGCAAGCCUGAUGCAGCGACGCCGCGUGAGGGAUGACGGCCUUCGGGUUGUAAACCUCUUUCAGUAGGGAAGAAGCGAAAGUGACGGUACCUGCAGAAGAAGCGCCGGCUAACUACGUGCCAGCAGCCGCGGUAAUACGUAGGGCGCAAGCGUUAUCCGGAAUUAUUGGGCGUAAAGAGCUCGUAGGCGGUUUGUCGCGUCUGCCGUGAAAGUCCGGGGCUCAACUCCGGAUCUGCGGUGGGUACGGGCAGACUAGAGUGAUGUAUGGGAGACUGGAAUUCCUGGGUGUAGCGGUGAAAUGCGCAGAUAUCAGGAGGAACACCGAUGGCGAAGGCAGGUCUCUGGGCAUUAACUGACGCUGAGGAGCGAAAGCAUGGGGAGCGAACAGGAUUAGAUACCCUGGUAGUCCAUGCCGUAAACGUUGGGCACUAGGUGUGGGGGACAUUCCACGUUUUCCGCGCCGUAGCUAACGCAUUAAGUGCCCCGCCUGGGGAGUACGGCCGCAAGGCUAAAACUCAAAGGAAUUGACGGGGGCCCGCACAAGCGGCGGAGCAUGCGGAUUAAUUCGAUGCAACGCGAAGAACCUUACCAAGGCUUGACAUGAACCGGUAAUACCUGGAGACAGGUGCCCCGCUUGCGGUCGGUUUACAGGUGGUGCAUGGUUGUCGUCAGCUCGUGUCGUGAGAUGUUGGGUUAAGUCCCGCAACGAGCGCAACCCUCGUUCUAUGUUGCCAGCACGUGAUGGUGGGGACUCAUAGGAGACUGCCGGGGUCAACUCGGAGGAAGGUGGGGACGACGUCAAAUCAUCAUGCCCCUUAUGUCUUGGGCUUCACGCAUGCUACAAUGGCCGGUACAAAGGGUUGCGAUACUGUGAGGUGGAGCUAAUCCCAAAAAGCCGGUCUCAGUUCGGAUUGGGGUCUGCAACUCGACCCCAUGAAGUCGGAGUCGCUAGUAAUCGCAGAUCAGCAACGCUGCGGUGAAUACGUUCCCGGGCCUUG